AUGACAGUUUCUGUUGAUGAAAUCAAAUUUGAAGACCCUCAAGCUCCAAACAGAGCCUUGAACCACAGCACCAAUGAAAAAAAUAAGUCUGCCAACAGCAUGAAGGAAAUGGAUAAGAAUCAACAAAACGCUGCUCUCCCGUCUCCUGUUCUGAAGCUUCUCCCUCCGUCCACUGAAGAGCUGAAGACUAAAAAAGCCACUCUAGUGUGUUUGGCCAGCGACAUGUCUGUCGGUUUCGCUGAUGUGAGUUGGCUCGUGGACGGGAACUCGGUCACCAGUGGAGUCGUCACCGGCUCUGCACAGCAGCAGGACAAUAAGAAGUUCACACUGAGCAGCUAUUUGACCAUCGACAGCUGCGAGUGGGACAACGACAAAGUCAUAACGUGUGAAGUGUCUGCUGGAGGAAAAGCCGCAUCGGUGAAGAUUAACAAGUCCGAAUGCAGUGAAUGA